CAGUGGGGAAUCUUAGACAAUGGGCGCAAGCCUGAUCUAGCCAUGCCGCGUGAGUGAUGAAGGNCUUAGGAUCGUAAAGCUCUUUCGCCAGGGAUGAUAAUGACAGUACCUGGUAAAGAAACCCCGGCUAACUCCGUGCCAGCAGCCGCGGUAAUACGGAGGGGGUNAGCGUUGUUCGGAAUUACUGGGCGUAAAGCGNACGUAGGCGGAUCAGAANGUAUGGGGUGAAAUCCCAGGGCUCAACCUGGGAACNGCCUNAUAAACUCNUGGUCUNGAGUUNGAGAGAGGUGAGGNNAAUUCCNAGUGUAGAGGNNAAAUUUGUAGAUAUUNGGAAGAACACCAGUGGAGAAGGCGGCUCANNGGCNCNAUNNNGACGCUGAGGUGAGAAAGUGUGGGGAGCAAACAGGAUUAGAUACCCUGGUNGUCCACACCGUAAACGAUGAAUGCCAGUCGUCGGGCAGUAUACUGUUCGGUGACACACCUAACGCAUAAGCAUCCGCCUUG
rnacentral:rRNA from 1 species